CACAACGAAGCUCCAUUCUCUGUACUGUGCAACGGGCAUGCACGUCGACCGGAGAGCCUGCGCGUCGUGGACUGAAACGGUUCAGCGUGUUGACACUAUGAGCCAGGCCAGCACGAAGAGCAAGGCUUCUGCGGGCAGAACGGAAAGAGAAAGAGUGAACGAAGGACGAGCGUGGAGAGUCGUCACGAGGAGGGCCAAAAAGAACAUCGUGAGGAUUAAAGGGCAUUUUCAUUUAUGAAAGCAACACUCGAUGCUAUCUCGUAAGGCGAGAGGUUUGGCUACGUCGUCACCGCAGCGCUUGAGAUGCCUGAGGACACAUCGCCUCGUCUUAUAGUUCAGUUAAUAGAACAAAGUCAGAAACUUAAUCAUCUAGCUUGUCCAAGAUUUUUUACUUUUACAUGGACCAUUUUGUUGAACGAAGCACCGGAAACUGCAAGUAGAAAAUCAGGUGCUGAGGAUCGAAAGUUGUCAUUCGAAAACGUAGCAAAUGUAUAAGUUGAAUUUAAGUUUCAGAUUCAUUGAAAUAUUUUCUUAGUUUUAGUAUCAGUUGUAAUAUUUGUGGGGAAUAAAAAUUACUGUAUAAGCAUA
rnacentral:misc_RNA from 1 species